rnacentral:lncRNA from 1 species
GAUUAGAUGUGCAAGAAGUUUAUCAUGGAGUCAGCAGGAGCAGGCAGGGAGAGCUUGCGGACCACAAUGCAGGGCUGACAUCCGAGGAGGGAGGAUUAGGUAGGAAGUUUCUGAGUGAAGCGCAGCUCCAAGAAAGGUUUGACUUUGCCAGUGGAGAGUCCUCAGGCCAUAGUUCUUGUCAGAGGAGUCCUGCGGUUUGCCAGAAUGGACUUGCACUAGUACCUCUGCCGUGCUCAGUCAUUGACUAGAAGCAGCCCUCAGGAAGCCUGGCCUUGGUGCAAAUGGGGUGGAUCCAGAAGUUAACAGCUGGGGCUGUCAGUCAGUUGUGCUCCCCACAGCAAAAGAUCUGAGUGGAGCAUUUCAUGGCCACCACAUUGUCCUAAGUUUUACAGCUCAUCGGAUAUGCCACAUCUGUGAUUUCCUCUGCAGUUUCUUGCUCAGGUCACGCGUCUUGCUCUGACAACUUCAGCCCUUUGAUUUCAGUUAGUACAGCACCCGACAGCUACAGCCAGAGCUGGCCCUCUCUGCAAUAGGUCCCCCUUCCUCCCACUGCCCCCAGUAAGCCAGUCUUUGGUGAGGAGAUGUAGCCAUGAAACUUGAGUGUUGAGCCCUGUCUAGGGAGCAGAGUAACAUCUUUUUAAAGUAUCUUUUUCUUUGGGGUCUUGGAUGCUUAAUGAGGUUCACCAGGAGAGGUUGUCAACAAGGGUCAGGAAGAUGCAGGAGCACAGGCAGUUCAGCAGAUAAAAUGGAAUACUAAAAAAUAUUUGAUUAAUCAAAAGAUGUCAGGAAAGGAAGAACGAAGAUAAUAUGGGACAAAUAGAAAACAAAUAGCAUGCUGACAGACUUAAAUCCAUCUGUAUCAGUAAUUGAAUUAAAAGUAAAUGUGGAAUAAAAAAAUGCAAUAUGGAAUCCUGGAUUGGAUCCUGGAACAGAAAAAGGACAUUUAUGAAAAGACUGGUGACAUCCAAAUAAAGUCUGGAGUUUAUGUAAUAGUAAUGUGCUAGUGUUGGUUUUUUAGUUUUGGUAAAUAUGCUAUGCUUAUGUAAGAUAUUAACAUUAGUGGAAACUAGGUGAGAAGUAUU